rnacentral:rRNA from 2 species
CAUAUUAAAUAAGCCGGAGGA